rnacentral:rRNA from 1 species
GAUGAACGCUGGCGGCGUGCCUAAUACAUGCGAGUCGAGCGAACAGACGAGGAGCUUGCUCCUCUGACGUUAGCGGCGGACGGGUGAGUAACACGUGGAUAACCUACCUAUAAGACUGGGAUAACUUCGGGAAACCGGAGCUAAUACCGGAUAAUAUAUUGAACCGCAUGGUUCAAUAGUGAAAGACGGUUUUGCUGUCACUUAUAGAUGGAUCCGCGCCGCAUUAGCUAGUUGGUAAGGUAACGGCUUACCAAGGCGACGAUGCGUAGCCGACCUGAGAGGGUGAUCGGCCACACUGGAACUGAGACACGGUCCAGACUCCUACGGGAGGCAGCAGUAGGGAAUAUUCCGCAAGGGGCAAAAGCCUGACGGAGCAACGCCGCGUGAGUGAUGAAGGUCUUCGGAUCGUAAAACUCUGUUAUUAGGGAAGAACAAAUGUGUAAGUAACUAUGCACGUCUUGACGGUACCUAAUCAGAAAGCCACGGCUAACUACGUG